CUGCUGCCUCCCGUAGGAGUUUGGGCCGUGUCUCAGUCCCAAUGUGGCCGUUCACCCUCUCAGGCCGGCUACUGAUCGUCGCCUUGGUGAGCCCUUACCUCGCCAACCAGCUAAUCAGACGCGGGUCCAUCUCAUACCACCGGAGUUUUUCACACCGUCCCAUGCGAGACCGUGCGCUUAUGCGGUAUUAGCAGUCAUUUCUAACUGUUAUCCCCCUGUAUGAGGCAGGUUACCCACGCGUUACUCACCCGUCCG
rnacentral:rRNA from 1 species